GACGAACGCUGGCGGCGUGCUUAACACAUGCAAGUCGAGCGGAAAGGCCACUUCGGUGGUACUCGAGCGGCGAACGGGGGAGUAACACGUGAGUAAUCUGCCCCUCACUUUGGGAUAGCCACCGGAAACGGUGAUUAAUACCGGAUAUGACCAUAUGUCGCAUGGCGUGUGGUGGAAAGUUUUUCGGUGAGGGAUGUGCUCGCGGCCUAUCAGCUUGAUGGUGAGGGAAUGGCUCCCCAUGGCUUCGACGGGUAGCCGGCCUGAGAGGGUGACCGGUCACACUGGGCCUGCGACACGGCCCAGACUCCAACGGGAGGCAGCAGUGGGGAAUAUUGGACAAUGGGCGGACGCCUGAUCCGACAACGCCGCGUGAGGGAUGACGGCCUUCGGGUUGUAAACCUCUUUCAGUACCGACGAAGCGCAAGUGACGGUAGGUACAGAAGAAGCACCGGCCAACUACGUG
rnacentral:rRNA from 1 species